rnacentral:rRNA from 1 species
UACGAAGGGUGCAAGCGUUAAUCGGAAUUACUGGGCGUAAAGCGUGCGUAGGCGGUUCGUUAAGUUCGUUGUGAAAGCCCCGGGCUCAACCUGGGAAUGGCAAUGGAAACUGGCGGGCUGGAGUAUGGCAGAGGGGGGUGGAAUUCCGCGUGUAGCAGUGAAAUGCGUAGAUAUGCGGAGGAACACCGAUGGCGAAGGCAAUCCCCUGGGCCCGCACUGACGCUCAUGCACGAAAGCGUGGGGAGCAAACAGG